GUCUUGGUAGCUCAGAUGGCAGAGCACUGGGCUACUGAUCCAGUGGUCAUUAGUUCAAAUCUCACCCAAGACA